GGGCUGCCGCCGGCGCCGAGCCCGCUGUCACGCGUGGGCCGGUUUGAAAGGGCACGUCCUGCGGGACGGACUCAACGCUCCUGCUCCGCGACUGCGGGAACUCCUGUGGCGUGCUCAAAGCAACAGAUGAUGGCAUCUCCUCAAAGGCUCAACUGCCGUGUCUAGCGCCUAAAUAACUUCUUCUGGUGAAGUUUAAAAGGAAAAGGAGGGGAUUCUUUAGGAAAACAGCUUCAAGAACUGAGAGGCUUUUCAUGCUAAAAUUCAAGCCGACUCCAAGCAGGGCUUAUCCUGGACAACAGCAUCUCCCACCCUGUAAGAACGCUCUCUACCUUCCCGUGGGAAGGCAGGCCACGGAAGCUCGCUCCCCGCAGGAGCUGGCUCCCCCAGCAAGGCCGGUUCUGUUCCUGCAGCAAGGGACACGCUGCCGUCCUGGCCUCUGCGAGAGUCGGGGCUGCUGCUGCUGCUGCUGCCUGCCUGUCCCCCACAUUCCUCAGCAGCAAGGCUGGUUUGUGUCAUUAGCGUAGGACAGCGUUACAAAACCCCGCAGCAACACUGAUAUAUAACGUUCUAAAUAAACGUGAGCUUGGAAAACAAAAGCCAAAAAAAAUACAAGGGAGGGUGGACUGACUACCGUGAGAGCCAUCAGCCAGUGUUUCAAAGUAAUAAUUAAAAUUCAUAACAAUUUGACAAGGAAACAGCAUGGCAGUGGAUCCUCAUAACACCCACACAAAGCCAGGAUCUGAUCUAUACGUCUCAGCCAAAAGGAGACAAUCCCCAUGCAUUCAGGACUUUCCUAAACGAGGCUGUGCAGGUAAUGAGGAACACUAUGGUUUUUACACUUGUCUUGCCCUCUUUCAGGUCUCAGUGUUUUGCCCCAGUAGCUCUGUAUGGCAAGACGCAGAAUGUUUUGUACCGGUGGGUACAGAGCAGAUACAGGGCCAAAAUAAAACAGUAAAUCAGUUUAAGCAAAGUUCUUAUAUUUUCAAAAAUCACAUCUGAUGUCAUCUACAUUAUACUGACAGGAGAAAGGAAAACAGAGGCAAGGUGGCCAACCCAUUUUACUUUUACCGCUUCCUUCAUAUAUUUUCUCUUGUCUGCUCAGUAUAGGAACCUGUAGCAUGUCUAACUCACAUCUGGAAGACUCCGUUCCAGAUUAUGAAACUCAGCAACUUCUAAGAAAGCAUUCAAUGACUCCUUUUAAAUUCACUGUGGCUUGUUCACUUUUUGACACUGUUUCAAAGUAUGUCCUAUACUCGGUCUGCAGACAAAUCCAGACUGAACUAGAAACAAUCACACCUCUCUCCUGGCCUCUCUCCAAAGCCUGUGGCCUUCACUUCCAAGAGUGGACAGACAGGACCCAUGCCUUUGUCCCAAGGCUUCCCAGCCUGCCUGUAGUGGCUGCAGUUACACUGAAUCCUCAGGCUGUAAGCUGAAGGUCACUGAUGCAGACAUCCAUCCCCAUCUACAGCUCCUCCAAUGGAGCAGUCAGCUCCGACCGAGCGGAUGCAAAGCCUCGUUGCAGCAGGAUCUUCAGGUGCUGCAGCGACAUCACAACAGCCACAAGGAGACUAAAGACAGACUGAAUCUCAGCAUGCAGGCUAGGCCAGCCAGAGUAUGAGCAGCAACACACUACAUCCUAUUCUCCUUAAUAUCAAUGUCAUUUCUGCAUUAGUGUCCCUGCAGUUUGACAGCUUUAACCCUUUUCAGUCAUAAACUCAGACACUAGUUUCACUCCCAUGAGUACUUAAUGAUUCUUUUUUGGGGAAACUACUAGCCCUGAAGAGAUACACAGCUGCUUCCUUACUAAGGAAACAUACAGCUUAAAGCCAGAACUCUAUCAGACCUGCAAACGUGAUUUACACACUCAGCUGAGUAUUUAAACCAAGAAGCCACAAAACAUGGAUGGAAUAUGGUGCUGCAGUGGUGUGUGGAGCAACAGCAGACAGGGUGAAAAUACAGGUAAGAGUUCUUAACAGUAAACAACUUAAGAGAAACAGCAAAGAUACUCCCAAAGCUUUUCUGAUACAAUUAUUGUUACAUAAAUACCUGGGCUUCUCUUCAAAUCAAAACCAACAUUUGUACUGCAUUACUCACAGCUCUGGGAGUCCACAACACCUGAGAUAAAUGACCUCACCAAUCUCAGGGUUAUUCUGUGUAUUUCAGAGAAGCUGUUUCGUACCUGCUGCAUGGAAGAGAUUGUACAGCAAUGAGCACUGUUUUCUACUCAAUUCUACUUCUCAAUUUGAUACUCAGUUUUGAAAGGGCACUUCUUAGUCUUCACCAACACUGGACAGUGUUACUUCUGCCAGCUAAAACCCUCAAGCCCAUGGAUUUCUAAGGAAGGCCAGAGAUUUCUUUUUUUAAAUGAAACUUGGAACUCAAAGUGCAAGGUUAAGCAAGCAUGGGGAUAUAACCACAAGUCUCAAACCCUGCUUUUGAGGAGACAUACUGAAGCAGCAGAGAAUUCCUCCACUUCUGCAGCUCCUCAGCCCUUUGUCCCACAUCAAGAUCAGCAUUCCCACAGUGUCAAUGUGAACUUGGUAGAGAUGCUCACUUCCAAUUGCUGAACUGUGAACCUCAUUCAUCACCAAGUUCCUGAAUGGAUUCAUCCCUGUUCUCCAUCUACAGUGACAGUGCACAUUAUAAGCAAAUUACUACUACCUACUGAAAAUAGAAGUCCUGUUUGCUGUACUUAGUUGCAAAACUCCACCUCUAUCAUACAUGGCCAACUUAAUGAAUGAGGCAAGUUCUCCAAAGAAGAAUAAGACAGCUGGAAGAGGAAGACUUCUUCACCAUAGUAACAGGAUGGUGAAAAUGCAUGGAUCCUCAUCCUUAUGUCUUCCAUGUUGUCUACUGCCCCUCUGACAGUCCUAUUUUCUGCAGUGUUACUAAUCCAGCAAGAAGAUCCCUGAACUAACUUUCUGCAUGUCUGCAUGCCCAUGGCAGUCAAAUUGCAGUACUAGAGAGUUGAGUUACUACCUUAUUCUUCAGGAUGCUUUGAAACCAGUGGAAGCACAAACACACUUCUCAUACCAAGGAGAGCAUGUCUAGUCAGGGCCACAUGAGGUACUGGAAAGCUGCUACAAGGUCUUCCUGGAGCCAUGUCUUCUCCAAGUUGAAAAAUCCCAACUCUCUGCUUGUUCCCAUAGGAAAGGUGCUGCAGCCCUCUGAUCAACUGCAUACCCCUCCUCUGGACUUGCUCCAACAGGUCCAUGCCUUUAUUAUACUGGGGAUCACAGAGCUAGAAGCAGUUCUCCAGGUGAAGUGCACCAGAGAACACAACACUCCUGUGCACAAGAGCAGCACAGUGGGUGAGAAGUAAAGCAUUCUGCUGGAACACACUUAUGUAAAAAAAAACUAAUUAUUUUAGAGCAGUUAAAACCAAGAAUGCUUCAGCAAUAAACAGCUCCUAUCAAAAAAGUUACCUAAAUACGUGACUAUGCUAUUUUUUUGAUCUUGAAUUAAGGGUGAAAAUGAUGACCCUUUCAGGAUGAGUGAUCCAUCCUACUUUGGCUUAUUCUCUUAUGAAUAAGAAAUACUCAGUAAUUUUCCCAUUUCAAUUUUUUAAGGAAGGUUUUCUUUUUAUUUCUUAAUAAAAAUUGACCAUUUUAAACAUUUGCAGCUU